CCUAUGGGGGGCAGCAGGCGCGAAACCUCCGCAAUGUGAGAAAUCGCGACGGGGGGAUCCCAAGUGCCAUUCUUAACGGGAUGGCUUUUCUUAAGUGUAAAAAGCUUUUGGAAUAAGAGCUGGGCAAGACCGGUGCCAGCCGCCGCGGUAACACCGGCAGCUCUAGUGGUAGCUGUUUUUAUUGGGCCUAAAGCGUUCGUAGCCGGUUUGAUAAGUCACUGGUGAAAUCCUGUAGCUUAACUGUGGGAAUUGCUGGUGAUACUGUUGAACUUGAGGUCGGGAGAGGUUAGCGGUACUCCCAGGGUAGAGGUGAAAUCCUGUAAUCCUGGGAGGACCACCUGUGGCGAAGGCGGCUAACUGGAACGAACCUGACGGUGAGGGACGAAAGCUAGGGGCGCGAACCGGAUUAGAUACCCAAGUAGUCC
rnacentral:rRNA from 1 species